rnacentral:rRNA from 1 species
UACAGAGGUCUCAAGCGUUGUUCGGAUUCAUUGGGCGUAAAGCGUGCGCAGGCGGUUCGUUGUGUCUGCUGUGAAAUCCCCGGGCUCAACCUGGGAAUGGCAGUGGAAACUGGCGAGCUUGAGUGUGGCAGAGGGGGGUGGAAUUCCGCGUGUAGCAGUGAAAUGCGUAGAGAUGCGGAGGAACACCGAUGGCGAAGGCAACCCCCUGGGCUGACACUGACGCUCAGGCACGAAAGCGUGGGGAGCAAACAGG